rnacentral:misc_RNA from 1 species
AUAUAUCAACUUCUUCAAGUUUUGCUUGUUGAGUGUUGGAUUGUGGGGGUUUCUUUUGCUGGUCUCUUUCUGAGGUCGGCUCCCCUGAAAUGCAUUAGCGGAACAAUUUGUUGACCGUUCAUUGGUGUGAUAACUAUCUACGCUAUUGACGUGAAGCAGGUUCAGCUUCUAAUAGGUCCAUUGACUUGGACAACUUUUCAUUA